GGGGCAGUAGCUCAGCGGUAGAGCCCCCGCUUCGCGUGCGGGGAGACCCGGGUUCGAUUCCCGGCUGCUUCU
rnacentral:tRNA from 1 species